rnacentral:rRNA from 1 species
GUUUGACUGGGGCGGUCUCCUCCUAAAGAGUAACGGAGGAGCACGAAGGUUGGCUAAUCCUGGUCGGACAUCAGGAGGUUAGUGCAAUGGCAUAAGCCAGCUUGACUGCGAGCGUGACGGCGCGAGCAGGUGCGAAAGCAGGUCAUAGUGAUCCGGUGGUUCUGAAUGGAAGGGCCAUCGCUCAACGGAUAAAAGGUACUCCGGGGAUAACAGGCUGAUACCGCCCAAGAGUUCAUAUCGACGGCGGUGUUUGGCACCUCGAUGUCGGCUCAUCACAUCCUGGGGCUGAAGUAGGUCCCAAGGGUAUGGCUGUUCGCCAUUUAAAGUGGUACGCGAGCUGGGUUUAGAACGUCGUGAGACAGUUCGGUCCCUAUCUGCCGUGGGCGAUGGAGAACUGAGGGGGGCUGCUCCUAGUACGAGAGGACCGGAGUGGACGCAUCACUGGUGUUCGGGUUGUCAUGCCAAUGGCACUGCCCGGUAGCUAAAUGCGGAAGAGAUAAGUGCUGAAAGCAUCUAAGCACGAAACUUGCCCCGAGAUGAGUUCUCCCUGACCCUUUAAGGGUCCUGAAGGAACGUUGAAGACGACGACGUUGAUAGGCCGGGUGUGUAAGCGCAGCGAUGCGUUGAGCUAACCGGUACUAAUGAACCGUGAGGCUUAACCUUACAACGCCGAAG